CUAUCUGCUAAAUACUUGGGCGGUGGCUGUGAGCAAAAACAAAAAUUCAGUUUCCUUCCCUUACCAAACCAACACCGAGAGAAAGACUAAGAAAGCGGCGGCUAACAAUCUGCUAAGUCAAGCGGUGGCUGAGAGGAAUUAGUUGAAGCUGACUCAUUUGUUUGGGCGGUGACAAGAGGAAUGAAAGAAACAGCCUCCUUCCUUUCCUGCUUUCUUUCUAAAACAGAAUCGAGGGUGUAAAACUGAGAGAGAGGAAAAUAUUUCUGGUUUCUCGUUGUUUCAGCUUGCCAGCGAGAGAGUGAGGGAGAGAGUUAGACAUUUGCUAGCUUCAUUCUCCAGCUUGCAACCAAGGGAGUGAAGGGGAGAGUGACCAUUCCUUUUACCACUUCAACCGUGAGAGCCAGCCACAAAGCAAGAAGGAUCGCAGUUCAUCGAGCUAAGAAUGGGAGAGAGAAACCAGAAUUUUAUUUUCCUAACUUAGAGCCAUAAGAAUCCAGAGGUAAACUACUGUCUUCCUCUUCCAUUUCUUCUACGUUUAGCUAGUAGUCUUUUAGACUGAGUUGGAACCAAGUAAAGAAGGAAACUUUCAAGAAAGCAAAGAUCAACAAAGCUGGAAAUGUCCGUUUGAAGUUGUUAUCCGAUAUUGAUGAGCUAAGCUGUAAUUUUCUUGUUGUUUCUUAUGUUGUAUGCACUCUCUAGCCAUAUAUCUUGACAUACAUACAGAUUAUAUCUUCAAAUAAAACCUGUUAAGAUGAAAUUAUGAUGAACUGCUGGCUGGAAUUCUUAAUACAAUGAAGGAUGAUUGCCGAUGGGGUAAAGUGGGAAAGAAUUUCGGUUUCUGGCCAAAAAUUUUGUUGAAACUGGUUAGAACUUGUUUGGUGCACCGUCGGUGACCUUAAUCUGACCAUGCAUGUAAUGUUUGAAGUGUUAAAAACAAGAAAAAAAUGAACUUUGAAAGCAACACGAAAGCUGGUGAAAGGAAAACUAGAGGAACCGAAGCAGAAAUAGUGCAGGCUGCAACUACUGAAUUCCAAGGUAAAGAGGUAAGAUUUUGUAACAACCACUCACUUAUUUAGUAUAACGGAAUGUAUAUAUGAGCUGCAUGUGAAUUUAGCAAAGAAAAUGGGACCUUAGCUAAGGUGAAACUCUGCUUUGAAGGAGAUAAACUGUUGGACAAAUUUGAAAGAAAUUAGGAACUGUUGUUGAACUUCAGCUCAUAAAUGAUGGAAAAUUUGUAUAUAACCUCUCGAUCAUCUCAUAUAUUUGAAUAUGUAUGUUGUGUGCUGGACCCUGGCCAAGGAAACUAAGUUUUGUUACAGGAUAGUCUUGUUUAGAACUGAUAGCUGCUGAAGGAAAUCUGGUGCAGGCUGCUAUGCACCAGAUUUAGCAGUCUUGUACAGACCUGCAAUUCCACUCAGUUUUCCUGUAAGUCCCGAUCAUGGACUGUCCCGUUAGGUUAGGAUAACCUACGAUAGAUUAAGUACCCUUUGCAUGAAUGAUUGAGACCAAAAAACUGAGGAAGAAAAGGUAAGAAAAUGUCUAAUGAUAAACUAUGAUUUUGCUGGAAAUUUUAUGACUGCAACCGAAAGAGAAAAGAAAGAACUUUGGCUAUCCCCUGCAACCCUUAGCUCUUAAACCUGUGUAGUAAGCUGUAACAUCCAUAAGCUUCAACAAGAAAGACAGAAACGAGUAGAAACACAACUAAACAUUAAGGGAGGAAUGACUGCAGGUGAAAGCAGAAUGUUGGCCGAGGGAGUGAAGCAGCAUGUGCUUCUGUCCGGCCAUUUUUGACCCUGAAAAUGUGAGAACUGGGUGUCGAUGUCUUCAUAAGAAAUGUAGGUCUAUAUCUUAGCUUUGAAACGCUAUAAAAUUCGUCUCAAUCCGAUAAGUAUAGCUCCAGUUAUGAUCCAAACACCAGAGGGUGGCAAAGCUGCCUUUCUUGUUUCCUGAAUGCAUUUUUGCGAUAAUGCUAGCCGUGAGAAUCAACUUUUAAUCAGCAUUUCAUCUAAUUUCCAGCUCUGUAAGCUUUCAUAAAUGAUAAUUACGAUUGUUAAAUGAUAGCUACGAUUGUUCUGAGAAUUAACAGCUAUACCUAGUUCCACGAGUAGAGUUAAACUAAGGCAAUUGAGUGAAAAACUCACGAUAGUUAUAUACGUAAAGUGGCCUCUAAUUAUUUAAUAUUGUCUUCACAAAUAUUUUAAGGCUGUAAAAUUUGAGCGACUGGUGUAAUGGAAUAAAAUCUAAUUACCAAAUAACCUAGGGUUUAAUUAAUUAAAAGGGAACCAAUGGAAUACUUCUAAGCCUUAAUUUUGGAAUCUUGAGUGGAAUAUGAUUUAAUCCUAAAAUAAAUAUCUUAUAAAUUAUUAACUUAGGAAAACAGGUAUAAUUCUUAAUUAAAACAAUAAAGUCAACAAGUUUCAAAAUAAAAUGAUAAAUGAAUAUUGAAUAUAUUAUAUUUGUACUUUAAAGUCAAACUUGAUUUUAAUAGUUCAAGUGAUAAAGUAAGAACAAUAAGUGAACAUCUACAAACUAUGUAUUUGAUUUGGAAUUAUUAACUUGUCUAGAAAGUAGCUAUGAACCAGAAAAACUGACUCGAGACUCGAGAGUAAUUUAUUUGGAUAUUUGGUGAGUGUUUUUCGAAUUUAUGUGUUAAACUGCUUAUGUGUACCUAAGUGAAAUUAUGUGACAAAUGUGUUUAUUAUGAAUUAUUACUAAAUGAUUCAGUGUAAAGUGUAUCUCAAUUGUGCCUCGCCUUCUAAAUCGAGAGUGUACUUUAUCGCACUCGACUUAGUUGAGCUUGAAGGUCGAUAAUUGACUGAAUGUUACUGUAAGUGUGCAUGAAUGUAAGCCGUAUGUGUGCCUCGCCGCAUCGGCUGAACUGGGCCCCAAAACCCUCUGUUCAACGGACUAUUCGAGCCAGCAAAGGGGUUGGUCCGGUAGGACGGUAGCUUUGGGUAAAUGUUUCGGUAUACUCGAGUAUUACCAUGAGGUUGGGAGAUCAUUGCACUGAUUACUGAAUGUAAGGGAUUGUUUAUUGUUUUGGACAACAUAAGGGGUGAAUUGGGAGAAAGUACAGUGAUAUUGAAAUGAAUGUGCAAUGAUAUUGAAAUUAAUGUACAAUGACAGUGAAAUGAGUGUCUCUUGACACUAAAAUGAAUGCUCAAUGACAUUGAAGUGGCUCUAAUACGAGCACCGUAUCCUUUUAAAAGUGAUUGUUCAGUGAAGUGAAGUGUUUCCUCAAUUGCUUAAUGAAACUGAUUGUACAGUGAAAUGUACACUACUUGCUUAACUGUACUGAUUUAAGUGCUUAUUGAUUGUUGCUUGCAUGAAAACCUCACGGGCAUAAACUCACCCUUUUAGCUUUGUUUUCCUUACAGGAGUCGAAGAUUGAAGAGUGAUUGGAUUGAACUAGAAAGUUAUUUUGGGAAGAUUCGUUAUUCUGUGUAUAUAGUGUAGUCAUGGUCUCUUUUGAAUUUUAAGAUGGUUGAAUUUUUGUUUGAGUUGGUGUGAUAUUAAGAUUGGAUAUUUAGAGCAGGUAUUUUGUUUCUUUUAUUGGACAAAUUUAUGUUUCAAACUAAUUGGAGAUGUACUUAAGAGUGAAUGUUCAGUUGUCCAAUGGUAAUGUUAUCUCUGAAGUUAAAGUGAGUGAGUGAGUUCUGGCGAGAGUCAAGCAGGCGAUCUGCUAACUUCUAGGGUAUGCCCUAGGAGAAGGUGGGGUCAUCACACUGAUUGUCAGCAUAACUCUUUUGUCGACUGAGCGGUUUUGAAUCCUUUGGCAAGUCAAUUUUACUUUCUCAUAUGCCUCUUCAACCCAUGAAACUUUUUCUGGGCUUAUAAUCUUUCUUUCCCCUAUUUCAUCCCAAUAAAUCGGAGAUCGGCACUUCUUCCCAUAAAGAUCCUCAUAGGGCGCCAUUUGGAUGGAAGAAUGGUAGUUGUUAUUAUGGGCAGACUCAAUUAGUGUCACAUGCUGAUCCCAAUUUCUUCCAAAAUCCAUCAUACAUGACCUUAACAUAUCUUCAAGAGCCUGAAUAGUUCUUUCGGACUGUCCAUUAGUUUGUAGAUGAUAGGUUGUACUAAAACUUAGUUUAGUGUCCAAAGCAAUUUACAUUUGUUAGUUUGUAGAUGGUAGGUUGUACUAAAACUUAGUUUAGUGCCCAAAGCAAUUUACAUUUGUUGCCAUAAUCGAGAUAUAAAUCAGAGAUCUCUAUUCAAAAUUAUACUUACAAGUAUCCCAUAGCCUAACAAUCUCAUCUAAAUACAAUUUGGCUAAUUUCUCAAGGGAAUAUCUCAUGUUCACAGACAAGAAGUCUGCCGAUUUGGUUAAUCGAUCAACUAUGACCUAAAUUCCUUCAUGGCCUUUUUAGGUAUGUGGAAAUUCUGAUACAAAAUUCAUAGUAACAUGCUCCUAUUUCCACUCCGGUACUUCUAAGAGUUUCAAUAUUCCUGCUAGUUUUAGAUAUUCUGUUUUAACUUGCUGACAAGUAAGAGAGGUUUGAACAUACUGAAUAAAUUCUUUCUUCAUAUUAUCCCAACAGUAUAACCAUUUCAAAUCUUGGUACAUUUUGUUACUGUCGGAAUGCCCCGUAUAUUUGGAACGGUGAGUUUUCUCUAGUAUUUCUCAUUUUAACCCUUCAUCUUUUGGUAUAAUUAUUUGAUUUUGAAAUCUUAGUACUCUUUCUGUCCAUAUACCAGAGUCAGGUAACUAUCCUCCUUAGACCUUCUCUUGCCAUUUUUGCAAAGUAGGAUUUCGCUUUUGUGCAUCCUUAAUACGACAGCAAUGGUUGUACAAUAAUAUUUCCAAAAAUCACUUUUUGACAAUUGAGUCGAGAAUUCCAUCUACUAAUUUCUUCCAACAAGCCUCAUUCUUUAACCAUCAUUCUUGCCAUUCGAACUUUUCUACUAAGAAGAUCCACCACUAUAUUGGCUUUUCCAAAAUGAUAAUUAAUGGUACAUUCAUAAUUCUCUAAGAAUUCCAUCCACCACCAUUGACGCGGGUUCAAAUCUUUUUUGAGAAAACAAGUAUUUAAGACUUUUGUGAUCAGUAUAUAUCUCACAAAUCACUCGAUACAAGUAAUGUCUCCAUGUUUUAGAACAAACACGACAGCGGCUAACUCCAGAUCAUGCGUUGGGUAGUUUUGUCAUAGGGUUUUAGUUUUCGGAAGGCAAACACAAUUACUUUUCCUCCUUGCAUCAAUACACACCCUAAUCCUUCUCGGGAUGCAUCUGUAUAUACUGCAAAACUAUCCUUCCCAUUCGAUAGUGCCAAAAUAGGUGCCAUAUUCAACUGUUUUUUGAAUUCUUGAAAACUAGCUUCACACUUGGCAUCCCAUAAAAACUAAACAUGUUUUUAGAUCAAUUUGGUUAGAGGUCCAACAAUUUUAGAAAAGUCCUGACUAUAUAGAUGAUAGUGCUCUGCUAAACCCAAGAAACGACGGAUUUUAGGAGGAUUUUCUAGCCAUUUCCAAUUAACGAUAGCCUCUAUCUUACUUGAAUCCACGGUGAUUCCCUCCUUAGAAAUGAUAUGCCCUAUGUGAGGACUCAUAUUUUAUUUUACUUUAGUCUAUUUUAUAGUUAUUUUGCCUUAGUGUUAUUUAAUUUUCACUAUUUUGCAUGAAUUUUUCUUAAAUUAAGCUUUUACCGUGCGCGCGUCAAAAGUUUUUUGAAAGUCGCACCGGCGCGACUAAUUGGAGAUUUGAGGAUUUAGUACUAAACUAGUAAGUAUAAGUAAUUGCAAUGUUAGAGGAAUUACCUUGGAGAAUUAGUGUAUAAGUGUAGCAAACAAGAGAGAAAGUGUUAGUGCAAUACAUUAUUGAUCCACUAUUGAAAGUUGACUUUUUACACAAAACUUAUGGUUACUUUUCCUUCAUUCUUCCUCCACAAGAAUCAAAACACAAACACUCCCUCACUCUCUCUCAUUUUCGGCCGAACCAAGGGAAAGAAAAGGGGAAGAGAAAACUUCAUCUUCUAGCUUCAAACUUGCUUGAAAUCAUCAUCCAAACCACACAACUCUUGGAAUUUGGCUCUAGUUAGAAGGAAGGUGCAAGCUUGUGGUGUUUUUUGGUGAAAGUGUUGGUGAAAAUCUUACCUUCAUCUAGGGUUCAAGAGCUUGAAAGGUAACCACAUCAUCCUCUUUUGCUCUUUAAAUUUUACUAAGAUUAGAGGUUGUAUUUCAUGAGUUUGAAACCCUAAUCAAGAAUCUAGGCUAGUGGACUUGAGGAAGACUUUUAUUUCUUGCUUUACAUCUAAGCUAGUGGUCUUGAGGUGGCCUUUUGGUAGCUGACUUGAGGUUAUUGCUUGAUUGUUGUUGUUUGUGUGAUAAAUGACUUGGUUUUGGCUUGAUAAGAGGAGAGGAAGUUGGAAGAAACUUGUUGCCUUGCUUGAAUUUCAAAUUUUUGUUACUUAUAUGGCUGCUAAAAUGCUCAUUAUAUGUUGUGUUAUGUAUGUGGAAAUUGUCUUUCAAAAGUCAUUUCAAUUGGUUGUAUAAAACUUGGGUUUUGAAGAAAGGAACAAAUCUGGGAAUUAGCUAUCAGGACAGCCAACCAAGGGCACUUUGUCUGACCAUAAAUCUUUUAAAAAAGUCAAAAUUGAGUGCCAUUUCCCGAACUAGACACCAAUAGCUUUCAAAUGGUAUAAGAUUCCCCUGCUGGUUAGUUUUGAGUAAGCCGUAACAAAUCGGCAAAGUGGACUGACCUAUUUUAUCUGUUUGUCCGAGAGAAAAUGGGAAACUGUAUAUUGUGGCUCAAUUUCGUCUCACUUGUGAAAAGAUUUUCAAAAUGAUAUCUUCUGAUGUAUUGUAGCAUUUUGAAUAUAGUUUCUAACGCCAUAAACCAUUCUCAAUUUGGACUUGUGUAGAGUUAGAUAUGGUCUGAUUUCAAAUUUGUGUCAAAGCUGAAAUCUGGAAAAUUGUUGAACAGGUUGUGAAAUCCAGCCAUCUUCAAACUGUUGUAUCUUGCUGUUCAAAAAUCCAAAUUUAGUUCUGCUUUUUGUGUUUGAAACUUGACUUGAAACUCUUACUGUGUUUUCAUACCUGUGAAUUUUGCCGAAUUUUCAAACUUUGCUGAAAAACAAGAACUGGUUCUGCCCUGUCUUCAUGAAACAGUAACUUUGAACUGAAAUUCGAAUAAUUUCUGAUUGGGAUUUCGGAAAAGUGUUUUCCACAAAGUUUUAGUACUUUGAAUCUUGUUUCCAAUGGUAUAAUGUUUUUCAUUUUUGGACUUACCAAACUCAAGAUAUGAUUUUUCAAGUGUUGUCAUCCAAAGCUGGAAUUUCUGGUUUCCCAUGAAUUGAACAUUUUAAGAAUUUCCAAUUCCCUUUUUUAGAUUGAUGGUUCAUUUUAAACUCGAUUUCAUGAAUGAUAUGAGUUCACUUGAGACUUUAAAUCCUCAUUUUUGAAUCUCGAUUUUCGAUGAUUAAAACUCUUUUGAGGCAUUGUCUUAAGUUUUAAUCAAGUGCAUUUUCUUCCUUGAAUGUUAAGUGGUAUAGAGUAUACGUGAGUGAUGGAUGGUCACUAUUUCUUCAGGUGCUCAAGAGGGAUUCGAAAGGAAUUCCGCUGAGGAACUUUAAAGGAAUUAUUUGCUCACUUGCUUUUUGAACCGGUAAGUGUCAAGUGCAUGACUUGUUGCUACAUACUUGAAUUGUUUCUUGUUAAUUAAGUGAUUUGGACUUGUCGAGACGAGUGUGUACUUUAUCGCACUCGUUCUCUUUUACUUAACUAGAUAAUUGACUUGCGUGAACGUGACUUGAUAAUUGAAUUGCGUGAACUUGACAAAUUGUACUUGUACAUCUAGGGACGCCCAAAACUCAUUGACUAAUCUUACGACUCGAGGCGGCAUGGGCUUGGUCGAGAAGGUUGGUGAAUCAUGAGAAAAUUAUAAAGUUUGAUCUUUUGAGAUCUUACUUGGCAUACUCGUGUAGUAUAACUCUUUCGUAUGUGUUUGGUUACGGAUCCAAGAGGGUGAAAUGGUGGAUAGAGGUAGUAAGCGGGGUUUCUAUGGACUUGCUACCUACCCGAUUGAUGGAGUAUUAUCACAUGGAGAUAUUGGAUCAACUCUUGGCAAAGCAAUGGAAAUUUAGCUCCUGAGAGCUCCCAUAUCCAUAUUGAUUGUGCUUAAUUGUUAAUUGUGGACUACAUGAAUGUUAUGACUAUUUUCUGAUACAAGUGUUAUUGCUAUUUGAACUUAUUUGUUUGCAUGCCUUUCUUGGCCUUAUGAUUACCUUAUGAUUAGAAUUUGGAUGUAAAUAGUUUAGUCAACUUUGGAUGGUUGUAUUUUUGGAAAAAUUGAUGUACCUUUUGGAAACUUGUGAUGUAAGACUUGAAUGGUUAUAUAAGGAAGCGAUUUUUCUUUAUAUUGACUUUUGUUAUUGGUUGAUUACCUUUAAGUUUAUCUUUGAUUCGUAUUGAACCCUGGCGAGAGUUAGGCAGGCGUUUCGCCGAUACCCUUGGGUUCGUCCUAGGGAGAAGUGGGGGCGUCAUAGUUGGUAUCAGAGCCUAGGUUUAGAGACCUAUUUGGGAGAUAUUUUAGAGGCUUUACUCUUGAGAAUAGGAAUGAGAUAACUUAGUUAUGCCUUAAGUUGAUGUUUGAGUGAAUUAGUGACUUUAAGUUUCUAACCAUGAGUUUUGUGGUUAUUUUGUGGGAAUGGAGAACGGUAAUGGGGUCAUAUGGCUAAUGGUAACAGAAAUGCUAAUGAUCAUGUGGAGUCUCUUAGGCCUAUUCGAUAUCGAGUACUUGGUGGAGGAUCUCAUGUCCGAUACUCACCUGCCUCUAGGUUCCCUCGUUGUCCCUGUAGGGAGACGCAUGCCUAACCUAAUGAUCUAGUGCUGUCCACUGAUGAUAAGCGCCGACAGCUAUUGAUUUCUAAUAGGGCACUACUGGAGUAGAUUGAGGAGCUGAGGACUAUAGUGGAGGUCCAGGGUGCUAUGAUCUUAGAGAUGGAGGGGACAGUGAUCGAUGAGUAGACUAAAACUGAGACCGCUCGUGACCAAGUUCAGAGGACUAGGGCUCGACUAGUUAGGGUAGUCGAUGAGGUCCAUGAGCGAGCCGUUGGAAUUUUAGCUGACACCACCAUGCUGAUAGAUGAGGUGGUAGGCAGAGUUCAGAGUUCAGCUCAUGAGGGCCCGUUUGAGGAGGAACCUUUUGAGUAAGACCCAGAGGAGGACCCAGAGAAGGAGAUCCAAACUAGCGGUUCUGCUGUGAACUAGGUUAGGAAUGUUGAAUCUUUUGACUCUUUUGUAAUUGGGAUUAGCUGGGUUGAUACUUGUCAAACUCGUGACUUUUACUGCAUGACUGAUUGUACUUUUAUGGCACAUGUGUGCUAUGUUUUUAUAAAUGCCCCAUGACUUGCUAAUUAUAUGAACAUUGAAAUGUUAAUAUAUGUUAGUUAUUGUUAUUUCAAAUGCUUUUCGUGUUGACUUUGCCUUUAAGUAUUUUCUCGCAUAAUUGUUUCUAUUCUUGCAUUUAGAUAUAAUUAAAACUAUGGACGGCCGAAAAAGUGGAAGGGGCCGAGGGCGUGGGAUCAAGCAAUCCCAAGUUCAAGGAGAUGAUCAAGGGUCAGCAACUGGGCCGAGUCAAGAGCAAGUAAACAAAGAAAAUAACCAAGUGGCUACUGUCAUUCACCAUAUGACGGAUAUUUUAGAACGGUUAACAGAGCGAUAGGGUCCAAGACCUGUUAACCAACUUGGGGCUCAGGAGAGAGGAGAGGAUAGAGCCUUGGAGUGAUUUUUAAAAUUUGCUCCGCCUAACUUCAUUGGAGAAGUUGACCCCGAGUUAGCGGAGAACUAGUUGGAGAGAUUGACCAAUAUAUUCGCUGCCUUAGAUUAUAUUGAGGAGGGGUAAGUGAACUUUGCUGCUUUUCAAUUUGAGAGUGCAGAACAUGCUUGGUGGAACGUGAUAAGGGAAAAAUGGGAAAGAGCGCGGAUCCCUUGGACUUGAGAAAACUUUAUAAGAGAGUUUAAUGAGAAAUUUCUCCCGCCUUUGAUUCAAGAGAAACGGGAGGACGAAUUUAUAAAGUUGAGACAGAGGGCUUCUAGCGUGGCCAACUAUAAGGAGUGAUUCACUAAACUUUCUACGUACGCUCCGGAAUUGGUUGCCACUGAGCGGAGAAGGAUAAGGUGAUUUGUACAAGGAUUUAAUGUGGAGAUUCAAGAGCAGCAGACUAAAUCUCUGCGUUCACUGAAACCCUAGAGAAAGCGCAGAGAGUUGAAAGUGCAACGCUACAAGUUAGAGAUUUCCAUGCCAAGAAAAUGGGCUCUCCUAGUCACCCUCCUGGACAAGCAAGUAAGAGUGCCCCACCUCCUAAAAUAAGAAGAGAAGCGGGAGGAGUAAGGACUGCUGGAGCACCAAGAGGGUAUUAUCAAGAGGAGGCCGCAAUGACCAAGGUCAAGCGAGAGAAACACCUUCUGGUGGUUAGGCCGUGGCUCCUCAAGUAGUUUGUGGCUACUGUGGUAAGCCUAGCCACACGUAGAAUGAGUGCUAGAAGAAAUUGGAAAAGUAUCUGUAUUGUGGCAGUACCGAGCACCAGAUCUCAAAAUGCUCAAAUAUACCAAAAGAGGAAGGUAGUAUCCAAAAGCCAGAGAAAUCGGCAUCUAAAUAAUCUAGUGCUGGAGGGAGUCGACCUAAGGUACCGAUUAGGGUUUAUGUAUUGGACCAUCAACAGAUUCCCAAUUCCACUGAGGUAGUUGAAGGUACGAUUCCUAUCUUCCACCGUUUAACUAAGGUUUUAAUUAAUCCUGGUACGACACACUCUUUUGUAAAUCCUAAAUUCAUGAGUGGGGUAGAAGUGAACCCGAUUAAAUUACCUUAUAACUUGGAGGUUAGAACACUUACUGAAAAUCAAAGUCUGAUUGCUAAUUUGGUGUAUAGAAAUUGUGAGAUAUGGGUUGGAGAGCGAAAAUUAUUGGCCGAUUUGAUGAGUCUAACUAUUAAAGGGUAUGAUAUUAUCCUAAGAAUGGAUUGGUUAGUGUGCUACCAUGCUCAGUUGAAUUAUAAGAUAAAAAUGGUAGAGUUAUGUAUUCCGAGAGAGGUGACCCUAAAAUUGGAUGUAAGGGGUAGACUAACCUCAUCUGCUCUUAUUUCAGGAAUUCAAAUUAGAAAGAUAUUGAGUAAGGGAGCUCAAGGGUAUUUAGCUUUUCUUAUAAAUACUCUUAGUGAUAAGGUGAGAUUAGAAGAUAAUUGCCAGUGGUUAAGGAGUAUCCAGAUAUUUUUUUCGAGAAACUAGAGUCUUUACUACCAGAAAGAGAGAUAGCCUUUAAAAUUGAUGUGACUCCAGGAGCAGCACCUAUCUCUAAGACACCCUAUAGAAUGAGUCUAACUGAAUUGAAAGAAUUGAAGUUGCAAUUGCAAGAUUUGCUAGAGCCAAACUUUAUAAAAGAAAGUGAUUCUCCGUGGGGAGCUCCUGUGUUGUUUAUUAAAAAGAAAGAUGGGAGUUUAAGGUUGUGCAUAGACUACCGAAUCUUGAAUAAUGUUACCAUUAAGAAUAAGUACCCUUUACCCCACAUUGAUGAAUUGUUUGACCAAUUGUAAGGGGCGAUAGUAUUCUCAAAAUUGGAUCUUAGGCAGGGUUAUUAUCAACUGAGAAUUUUGAAAAAAUAUAUACCUAAGACUGCUUUUAAUUUGAGGUACGGGCACUUCGAGUUCGCAGUGAUGCCGUUCGAGUUGACUAAUACUCCUGCAGCUUUUAUGAAUUUAAUGCACCGAAUCUUUAAGAUUUAUCUAGAUCAGUUUGUGGUGGUGUUCAUUGACAAUAUACUGGCGUAUUCUGAGACUUUGGAGGAUCAUGAGAAACAUUUGAGGAUUGUCUUGCAAACCUUGAGGGAACAUCAAUUGUAUGGUAAGUUUAGUAAAUGUGAAUUUUGGUUAUAGGAAGUAACUUUCUUAGAUCAUAUAAUUUUCAAGGAAGGAAUUAAGGUGGAUCCGACCAAAGUUGAAGUAGUUUCUAAGUGGAAACAACUGGAAAACCCUACUGAAGUUCGAAAUUUCUUAGAUUAGCAGGGUAUUAUCAAAGGUUUAUCAAAGAUUUUUCUAAGAUUGCGGGACCCAUGACUGAGUUAACUAAGAAAAGUGGGAGGUUUAUGUAAAAUUCUAAGUGUGAAGAAAGUUUCCAAGAGUUAAAGAAAUGUUUGACAAGGGCAUCUAUAUUAGCUUUACCUAAUGGAAAUGAUAGUUUUGUGAUUUAUACAGAUACUUCAAAAGAAGGCUUGGGGUGUGUAUUGAUACAAAAUAAAAGGGUGAUUGCGUAUGCCUCUAGAAAAUUAAAGCCUUACGAGAGAAAUUAUUCAACUCAUGAUUUGGAGUUAGCGGUUGUAGUAUUUGCAUUGAAGAAAUUGAGACAUUACCUAUAUGAGGUGACGUUUGAGGUUUUUACAGAUCACAAGAGUUUUAAGUACUUGUUCUCCCAAAAGAGUUAAACUUGAGACAGCGGAGAUGGGUGGAGUUUUUAGAAGAUUAUGAUUACACGAUUAAUUAUCACCCAAGGAAAGUUAAUGUGGUAGCCGAUGCUUUGAGUCGUAAAGUGCAAGUGGCUGGAUUGAUGAUUAAAGAAUUUCACUUGUUGGAAGAGGUUAGUAUUUGGAGCUCUCGUCUUGAACCAAGAAAGGUAAUCCUUGGGAAUAUUGUCGUGAAAUCCAUUUUGUUAGAUCGUAUCAAAGAGGCAUAAGAAAAGGAUUCAAAGGUGCAAAAGUGGUUGGAAAAAGAUAAAAAGGAGGAAAAGUCAGAUUUUAAUUUGGAAGUAAAUGGUGUACUAAAAUUUCAGAAUCGCAUAGUAGUGCCAAAUGAUGAACGGAUAAAAAGGGAAAUUUUGGAGGAACCUCAUCGUUCUAAGUAUACGGUACAUUCUAGAGGAAAUAAAAUGUACCAAGACUUGAAGAGCCUGUAUUGGUGGGAGAAUAUGAAGAAGAAAAUUGCUCGAUUUGUCUAGACUUGUUUGAUUUACCAGUAGAUUAAAACCGAGCAUCAGAAAUCAUCUGACCUAUUGCAACCUUUGGAGAUACCCAAGUGAAAGUUGAAAAAUAUCACCGUGGACUUUGUAUCUGGAUUACCAAGGACACAAAGAUGUCAAGAUGCCAUUUUGGUGAUAGUGGAUAGACUGACCAAGUCUGCUUAUUUUCUGUCGAUUAGUAUGAAGUACUCAUUGGAAAAACUAGCUAAACUAUAUUUGGAUGAGAUUAUAAGCCUACAUGGGAUACCAGUAAGUGUUGUGUCUAAUUGAGACCCUCGGUUUGUUUCUCGGUUUGGCAGAAGAUGCAAGAAAUGCUAUGAACUAAAUUGAGUUUUAGCACUACCUACCAUCCCUAGACUGAUGGACAAUCAGAGAGGACAAUUCAGACCAUUGAGGACAUGUUGAGAACCUGUAUUUUGGAUUUUGAAAAGAGUUCGAGUAAGUACUUGAUAUUAGUGGAAUUUGCUUACAAUAAUAGCUUCCAUUCAUCCAUUCAAAUGACUCCUUAUGAGGCUCUUUAUGGCCGGAAGUAUAGAUCUUCAAUUUGUUGGGAUAAAAUAGGUGAAAGAAAAAACUUAGACCAACUGCAGUGCCAUGGGUUGAGGAGGCGUAUGAAAAGGUGAAAUUAAUACGCCAAAAGAUUCAAACAGCUCAGAGCAGUCAGAAUAGUUAUGCAAAUAACUGGAGGAAGGAUUUGGAGUUUGUGGUUGGAGAUCAAGUCUUUUUUAAGAUCAUUUCUCUAAAAGCAAGUUUGAUGGUAUAGAGAGGAAAGAAGUUGCAACCAAAAUUUGUAGGACCUUAUAAGAUUCUUUAACAUGUGGGAAACGUAGCCUAUAAGUUGGAACUGUUACCAAGUUUGUUUCGAAUUCAUAACAUUUUUCACGUGUUUAUGCGCAAGAAGUAUCACCUAGAUCCUUCUCAUAUACUGCAACCAGAAAAUAUUGAGAUUGACGAGGUACUGACUUAUGAGGAGAAACCAGUGAAAGUUUUGGAUCGUAAGGUGAAAGAAUUGAGGAAUAAGCAAAUCCUUUUGGUAAAAGUUUAUGGAGGAAUCACGGGAUAGAGGAAGCAAUUUCGGAGGUAGAAGAAUAGAUUCGAGAGAAAUAUCCAAACCUAUUUCUAAAUCAAGGUAUGAAUUUCGUGGACGAAAUUCUUUUAAGGGGAGGAGAAUAUGAGGACUCAUAUUUUGUUUUACUUUAGUUUAUUUUAUAGUUAUUUUGCCUUAGUGUUAUUUAAUUUUCACUAUUAUGCAUGAAUUUUUCUUAAAUUAACCUUUUACCGCGCGUGCGUCGAAAGUUUCUUGAAAGUCGCACCGGCACGACUAAUUGGAGGUUUGAGAAUUUAGUACUAGACUAGUAAGUAUAAGUAAUUGCAAUGUUAGAGGAAUUACCUUGGAAGAUUAGUGUAUAAGUGUAGCAAACAAGAGAGAAAGUGUUAGUGCAAUACAUUAUUGAUCCACUAUUGAAAGUUGACUUUUUGCACAAAACUUAUGGUUACUUUUCCUUUAUUCUUCCUCCACAAGAUUCGAAACACAAACACUCCCUCACUCUCUCUCAUUUUCGGCCGAACCAAGGGAAAGAAAAGGGGAAGAGAAAACUUCAUCUUCUAGCUUCAAACUUGCUUGAAAUCAUCAUCCAAACCACACAACUUUUGGAAUUUGGCUUUAGUUAGAAGGAAGGUGUAAACUUGUGGUGUUUUUUUGGAGAAAGUGUUGGUAAAAAUCUUAUCUUCAUCUAGGGUUCAAGAGCUUGAAAGGUAACCACAUUAUCCUUCUUUACUCUUCAAAUUUUACUAAGAUUAGAGGUUGUAUUUCAUGGGUUUGAAACCCUAAUCAAGAAUCUAGACUAGUGGACUUGAGGAAGACUUUUAUUUCUUACUUUACAUCUAGACUAGUGGUCUUGAGGUGGCCUUUUGGUAGCUGACUUGAGGUUAUUGCUUGAUUGUUGUUGUUUGUGUGAUAAAUGACUCGGUUUUGGCUUGAUAAGAGGAGAGGAAGUUGGAAGAAACUCAUGAGGAGAGCUGGCCGAAAACUGCUGCUUGUUGCCUUGCUUGAAUUUCAAAUUUUUGUUGCUUAUAUGCCUGCUAAAAUGCUCAUUAUAUGUUGUGUUAUGUGUGUGAAAAUUGUAUUUCGAAAAUCAUUUGAAUUGGUUGUAUAAAACUUGGAUUUUGAAGAAAGGAACAAAUCCGGGAAUUAGCUAUCAGGGCAGCCGACCAAGGGAUAUUUGUCUGACCAUAAAUCUUUGUACAAAAGUCAAAAUUGAGUGUCGUUUGUGACAUUUGAAACUAGACACCAAGAGCUUUCAAAUGGUAUAAGAUUCCCCUGCUGGUUCAUUUUGAGUGAGUCGUAGCAAAUCAGUAAAGUGGACUGACCUGUUUUACUUGUUUGUCAGAGAGAAAAUGGGAAACUGUUUCUUGUGGCUCAAUUUCAUCUCACUUGUGAAAAUAUUUUUAAAAUGAUGUCUUCUGAUGAAUUGUACCAUUUGGAAUCUAAUUUCUAACGCCAUAAACCAUUCUGAAUUUGGACUUGUGUAGAGUUAGAUAUGAUCUGAUUUCAAAACUAUGUCAAAGCUGGAAACUGGAAAAUUGUAGGUUGUGAAAUCCAGCCAUCUUCAAACUGUUGUAUCUUGCUGUUCAAAAAUCCAAAUUUAGUUCCGCUUCUUGUGUUAAGCUUGGCUUGAAACUCUUAUUGUGUUGUAAAUUUCAAAGGUUAAUUUCAUACCUGUGACUUUUGCCUAAUUUUCAAACUUUGCUGAAGAACAAGAACUGGUUUUGCCGUGUAUUCAUGAAACAGUAAUUUUGAGCUGAAAUUCGAAUGAUUUCUGAUUGGGAUCUCAUAAAGGUGUCUUCUGGAAAGUUUUAGCACUUUGAAUCUUUUUUUUGAAUGGUAUAAAGUUUUCCAUUUUUGGACUUACCAAACUGAAGAUAUGAUUUUUCAAGUGUUGUCAUCCAAAGCUAGAAUUUCUGGUUUCCCAUGAAUUGAACAGUUUAAGAAUUUCCAGUUCCCUUUUUGAGAUUGAUAGUUCAUUUUAAACUCGAUUUCAUGAAUGAUACGAGUUCACUUGAGACUUUAAAUCCUCAUUUUUGAAUCUUGAUUUUCAAUGAUAAAAACUCUUUUGAGACAUUGUCUUAAGUUUUAAGCAAGUGCAUUUUCUUCCUUGAAUGUUAAGUGGUAUAUAGUAUACGUGAGUGAUGGAUGGUCACUAUUUCUUCAGGUGCUUUAGAGGGAUUCGAAAGGAAUUCCGACGAGGAACUUUAAAGGAAUUAUUUGCUCACUUGCUUUUUGAACCGGUAAGUGUCAAAUGCAUGACUUGUUGCUACAUACUUGAAUUGUUUCUUGUUAAUUAAGUGAUUUGGACUUGUCGAGACGAGUGUGUACUUUAUCGCACUUGUUCUCUUUUACUUAACUAAAUAAUUGACUUGCGUGAACGUGACGUGAUAAUUGAAUUGCAUAAACUUGACAAAUUGUACUUGUACAUCUGGGGAUGCCCAAAACUCAUUGACUAGCCUUGCGACUCGAUGCGGCAUGGGCUUGGUCGAAAAGGUUGGUGAAUUAUGAGAAAAUUAUAAAGCUCGAUCUUUUGAGAUCUUGAUUGGCAUACUUGUGUAGUAUAGCCCUUUCGUGUAUAUUUAGUUACGGAUCCGAGAGGAUGAAAUGGUGGAUGGAGGUAGUAAGCGGGGUUUCUAUGGACUUACUACCUACCCGGUUGACGGAGUGUUAUCACGUGGAGGUAUUGGAUCAAGUCUUGGCAAAGCAAUGAAAAUUUAGCUCCUAAGAGCUCUUGUAUCCUUAUUGAUUGUGCUUAAUUGUCAACUGUGAACUACAUGAAUGUUAUGGCUAUUUUCUGGUACAAGUGUUAUUGCUAUUUGAACUUAUUUGUUUGCAUGCCUUUCUUGGCUUCUCUAAGCGUUAACUGUCAAUCUCAGUUCUUAGCUUUUGAUAAUUACAAAAUAAAUGAAUGUUACUAAUAUCUCCUUAAAGACCUUUUCAGAAAUGAAGCAAAUCAGGUUCAAAGAUAAAGGUGUUGCUGAAGCUGUCGGACGCACGUAAAGACUGAAUCGGACAUCCGACAAUCAUUGAACUACUUCGGACGCAUGAAAAACUCCAUCACCGGACAUUCAAAAGAAUCAAAAUAUUUUCCUAAACUUACUGACCUCGAUCGGACGUAAAAUAUUAGAGCACAGGACGUCCGAUAAUCUGCGCAACACUUCGGACGCAGAGCAUUGGAAGUACCGAACAUCCAAAAGGAUUGAAGCAAAAUUCUCAAUUUUAUUAUCUACUUUCGGAUGCAAACUAUGAAGGUACCAGAUGUCUGAAUGAAUUAAAGAAAAUCUCUUUUGAUCACUGGACGUCCGACACCACAAACGGCUUGUUGACUCUUCAGCUGCCUUCUAUCCAUUUGAAGCAUUAAUGAAGGAACUUUUUGGUCUCAUAUAAAUAAUGCAAAGUCAACCACUUUGGAAUACUUUUGCACAUUGAGACUACAAAAGAUCUCGAGCAAUUUUAGUGAGAAAAUCCUCUUCAAAGAAGAUUUGUACUCUUAGUUGUGUGGAUUUCGAAUAAGCUUUUCUUGUGUGAGAAAAUUACUUCAAUAGUGUAGUUUU
rnacentral:lncRNA from 1 species